UACGGGGGGGGGCAAGCGUUGUUCGGAAUUACUGGGCGUAAAGGGCUCGUAGGCGGCCAACUAAGUCAUACGUGAAAUCCCUCGGCUUAACCGGGGAACGGCGUCCGAUACUGGAUGGCUUGAGUUUGGGAGAGGGAUGCGGAAUUCCAGGUGUAGCGGUGAAAUGCGUAGAUAUCUGGAGGAACACCGGUGGCGAAGGCGGCAUCCUGGACCAAAAACUGACGCUGAAUAGCGAAAGCCAGGGGAGCAAACGGG
rnacentral:rRNA from 1 species